rnacentral:rRNA from 1 species
CUUUUACUCCUACGGGAGGCAGCAGUGGGGAAUAUUGCACAAUGGGCGGAAGCCUGAUGCAGCGACGCCGCGUGAGGGAUGACGGCCUUCGGGUUGUAAACCUCUUUCAGUAGGGAAGAAGCGAAAGUGACGGUACCUGCAGAAGAAGCGCCGGCUAACUACGUGCCAGCAGCCGCGGUAAUACGUAGGGCGCAAGCGUUAUCCGGAAUUAUUGGGCGUAAAGAGCUUGUAGGCGGUUUGUCGCGUCUGCCGUGAAAGUCCGGGGCUCAACUCCGGAUCUGCGGUGGGUACGGGCAGACUAGAGUGAUGUAGGGGAGACUGGAAUUCCUGGUGUAGCGGUGAAAUGCGCAGAUAUCAGGAGGAACACCGAUGGCGAAGGCAGGUCUCUGGGCAUUAACUGACGCUGAGGAGCGAAAGCAUGGGGAGCGAACAGGAUUAGAUACCCUGGUAGUCCAUGCCGUAAACGUUGGGCACUAGGUGUGGGGGACAUUCCACGUUUUCCGCGCCGUAGCUAACGCAUUAAGUGCCCCGCCUGGGGAGUACGGCCGCAAGGCUAAAACUCAAAGGAAUUGACGGGGGCCCGCACAAGCGGCGGAGCAUGCGGAUUAAUUUGAUGCAACGCGAAGAACCUUACCAAGGCUUGACAUGAACCGGUAAGACCUGAAACCAGGCCCCCCACU